UACGGGGGGGGCAAGCGUUGUUCGGAAUUACUGGGCGUAAAGGGCUCGUAGGCGGCCAACUAAGUCAGACGUGAAAUCCCUCGGCUUAACCGGGGAACUGCGUCUGAUACUGGAUGGCUUGAGGUUGGGAGAGGGAUGCGGAAUUCCAGGUGUAGCGGUGAAAUGCGUAGAUAUCUGGAGGAACACCGGUGGCGAAGGCGGGUCUCUGGGCCGACAUUGACGCUGAGGAGCGAAAGCGUGGGGAGCGAACAGG
rnacentral:rRNA from 1 species